GACGAACGCUGGCGGCGUGCUUAACACAUGCAAGUCGAACGGAAAGGCCUGCUUUCCCUUGUGGAUUGCGGGUACUCGAGUGGCGAACGGGUGAGUAACACGUGAGUGAUCUGCCCCCAACUUGGGUAUAAGCCUGGGAAACUGGGUCUAAUUCCCGAUAGGACUGCAGGGUGGUGCCUGUGGUGGAAAACGAUUUUCUAGUGGUUGGGGGUGAGCUCGCGGCCUAUCAGCUUGUUGGUGGGGUAAUGGCCUACCAAGGCGGCGACGGGUAGCCGGCCUGAGAGGGUGGACGGCCACAUUGGGACUGAGAUACGGCCCAGACUCCUACGAGAGGCAGCAGUGGGGAAUAUUGCACAAUGAGCGGAAGCCUGAUGCAGCGACGCCGCGUGGGGGAUGACGGCCUUCGGGUUGUAAACUCCUUUCGACCGCGAGGAAGCCACCUGGUUGGAAGGGUGGUGACGGUAGUGGUAGAAGAAGCACCGGCUAACUACGUG
rnacentral:rRNA from 1 species